GUACCUCAGUGCGAUGAUACAUCUUCAAAGCGGUGUGCACUUCCUAGAAAUGAAAAGUUGAGAAGCAUUUGGAUCAGGCGGACUGGACGUGAACAUUUAUUGGCAAAAUGGAAAUUUCGAAGAAGAUUUGUGUCCAGACAUUUCCACGAUGUGUGUUUCAAGGCAAACGGAAGACUAUUACAAAAUUGUCUUCCAACAAAAUACCUUCCAGGUAUGUUUAAAUAAGACUAUAUGUCUUGUUUUAAAGAGUACUACAUAAAUUAUUCACAAUUAUUCACCCCACAUACUACAUACAUUUCGAAACUUUUCAAGAUGCCGCUUCCAAGGAGAAUAGCUUCUAUCGAGAGGAUGUACCUAAGGGAUGAGGGAACCCGUGAAUAUUUCGUCAGAGUCAGGCACGUCCUUCACCAAGUCGAGUCCGCUAGACUCGGUUAUUUAAGCCAGCAAAAGUCUAUCCUGGCAAAACACGCAAAAAACCGCCAACAUAUGUGAUAUUGCUGGAUCAUCACAUGAAUAUGUUAGCACAUCAAAUAUCGCCUCAGUUCCGUGUAAGUAGAUAUACAAUGAAUAAGGAAUAUAGUAGCUUACCUACGGCUUAAGGGUUUAAUCAAUA
rnacentral:lncRNA from 1 species